rnacentral:rRNA from 1 species
AUUGAACGCUGGCGGAAUGCUUUACACAUGCAAGUCGAACGGCAGCACGGACUUCGGUCUGGUGGCGAGUGGCGAACGGGUGAGUAAUGUAUCGGAACGUGCCCAGUCGUGGGGGAUAACGUAGUGAAAAUUACGCUAAUACCGCAUACGAUCUAUGGAUGAAAGCGGGGGAUCGCAAGACCUCGCGCGAUUGGAGCGGCCAGUAUCAGAUUAGGUAGUUGGUGGGGUCAAGGCCCACCAAGCCAACGAUCUGUAGCUGGUCUGAGAGGACGACCGGCCACACUGGAACGGGGACACGGUCCAGACUCCUACGGGAGGCAGCAGUGGGGAAUUUUGGACAAUGGGCGAAAGCCUGAUCCAGCCAUGCCGCGUGCAGGAUGAAGGCCCUCGGGUUGUAAACUGCUUUUGUACAGAACGAAAAGGUUUCUACUAAUACUAGGAGCUCAUGACGGUACUGUAAGAAUAAGCACCGGCUAACUACGUGCCAGCAGCCGCAGUAA